GAUGAACGCUGGCGGCGUGCCUAAUACAUGCAAGUCGAGCGAACAGACGAGGAGCUUGCUCCUUUGACGUUAGCGGCGGACGGGUGAGUAACACGUGGGUAACCUACCUAUAAGACUGGGAUAACUUCGGGAAACCGGAGCUAAUACCGGCUAAUAUUUCGAACCGCAUGGUUCGAUAGUGAAAGAUGGCUUUGCUAUCACUUAUAGAUGGACCUGCGCCGUAUUAGCUAGUUGGUAAGGUAACGGCUUACCAAGGCAACGAUACGUAGCCGACCUGAGAGGGUGAUCGGCCACACUGGAACUGAGACACGGUCCAGACUCCUACGGGAGGCAGCAGUAGGGAAUCUGCCGCAAUGGGCGAAAGCCUGACGGAGCAACGCCGCGUGAGUGAUGAAGGUCUUCGGAUCGUAAAACUCUGUUAUUAGGGAAGAACAAACGUGUAAGUAACUGUGCACGUCUUGACGGUACCUAAUCAGAAAGCCACGGCUAACUACGUG
rnacentral:rRNA from 1 species